GCAAUAGUAGCUCAGCCUUAAAGCCUCGGUCUUGUAAGCCGGACACCGGGGGUUAAAAUCCCCCCUCUUGCU
rnacentral:tRNA from 1 species